CAGCUUUUUUAUUUUAUUAUAAAUUGUAGAUUUUACGUUGUUUCUGUUCAUUCUGUGGACAGCAAAGGAAGAAUUUUAUUGUACAGGGAAACAUGUUUUCUU